rnacentral:rRNA from 1 species
AUUGAACGCUGGCGGCAUGCCUUACACAUGCAAGUCGAACGGCAGCACGGGAGCAAUCCUGGUGGCGAGUGGCGAACGGGUGAGUAAUAUAUCGGAACGUGCCCAGUCGUAGGGGGAUAACGUAGCGAAAGCUACGCUAAUACCGCAUACGAUCUAUGGAUGAAAGCGGCGGAUCGCAAGACCUCGCGCGAUUGGAGCGGCCGAUAUCAGAUUAGGUAGUUGGUGAGGUAAAGGCUCACCAAGCCGACGAUCUGUAGCUGGUCUGAGAGGACGACCAGCCACACUGGGACCUGAGACACGGCCCAGACUCCUACGGGAGGCAGCAGUGGGGAAUUUUGGACAAUGGGCGCAAGCCUGAUCCAGCAAUGCCGCGUGCAGGAUGAAGGCCUUCGGGUUGUAAACUGCUUUGUACGGAACGAAACGGUGAGCUCUAAUACAGUUUGCUAAUGACGGUACCGUAAGAAUAAGCACCGGCUAACUACGUG